rnacentral:rRNA from 1 species
UACGUAGGGGGCAAGCGUUGUCCGGAUUUAUUGGGCGUAAAGAGCGUGUAGGCGCCAGACAGGUCCGUUGUGAAAACUCGAGGCUCAACCUCGAGAUGUCGAUGGAAACCGUCUGGCUAGAGUCCGGAAGAGGAGUGUGGAAUUCCUGGUGUAGCGGUGGAAUGCGCAGGAUAGUCAGGAGGAACACCAAUAGCGAAAGGCAGCUCGCUGGGACGGUACUGACGCUAAGGCGCGAAAGCGUGGGGAGCGAACAGG